rnacentral:rRNA from 1 species
AGGUUGGCUAAUCCUGGUCGGACAUCAGGAGGUUAGUGCAAUGGCAUAAGCCAGCUUGACUGCGAGCGUGACGGCGCGAGCAGGUGCGAAAGCAGGUCAUAGUGAUCCGGUGGUUCUGAAUGGAAGGGCCAUCGCUCAACGGAUAAAAGGUACUCCGGGGAUAACAGGCUGAUACCGCCCAAGAGUUCAUAUCGACGGCGGUGUUUGGCACCUCGAUGUCGGCUCAUCACAUCCUGGGGCUGAAGUAGGUCCCAAGGGUAUGGCUGUUCGCCAUUUAAAGUGGUACGCGAGCUGGGUUUAGAACGUCGUGAGACAGUUCGGUCCCUAUCUGCCGUGGGCGCUGGAGAACUGAGGGGGGCUGCUCCUAGUACGAGAGGACCGGAGUGGACGCAUCACUGGUGUUCGGGUUGUCAUGCCAAUGGCACUGCCCGGUAGCUAAAUGCGGAAGAGAUAAGUGCUGAAAGCAUCUAAG